rnacentral:rRNA from 1 species
AAUAGAUACCCCGGUAGUCCACGCCGUAAACGAUGAGUACUAGGUGUCGGGGGUAUCGACCCCCUCGGUGCCGUCGCUAACGCAUUAAAGUACUCCGCCUGGGGACUACGGCCGCAAGGCUAAAACUCAAAAGGAAUUGACGGGGGCCCGCACAAGCAGCGGAGCGUGUGGUUUAAUUCGAUGCAACGCGAAGAACCUUACCUGGGCUUGACAUACAGGUGGUAGGGAUCCGAAAGGUGACCGACCCGCAAGGGAGCCUGUACAGGUGCUGCAUGGCUGUCGUCAGCUCGUGCCGUGAGGUGUUGGGUUAAGUCCCGCAACGAGCGCAACCCUCGUCGCUAGUUACUAUGUCUAGCGAGACUGCCGGGUCUAACUCGGAGGAAGGCGGGGAUGACGUCAAGUCAGCAUGGCCCUUACGUCCAGGGGCUACACACACGCUACAAUGGCCGGUACAAUGCGCCGCAAUGGGGCGACCCGGAGCAAAUCGCACCAAAGCCGGUCUCAGUUGGGAUUGCAGGCUGCAACUCGCCUGCAUGAAC